rnacentral:rRNA from 1 species
GACGAACGCUGGCGGCGUGCCUAAUACAUGCAAGUAGAACGCAGUUGCGCACGGGUGAGUAACGCGUAGGUAACUGCCUCAUAGCGGGGGAUAACUAUUGGAAACGAUAGCUAAUACCGCAUCCUGUUAAAUGGACCUGCGUUGUAUUAGCUAGUUGGUUAGGUCAAGGCUCACCAAGGCGACGAUCCAUAGCCGACCUUAGAGGGUGAUCGGCCAACCUGGGACAGAGACACGGCACAAACUACGACGGGAGGCAGCAGUAGGGAAUCGUCGGCAAUGGACUGAAGUCUGACCGGGCAACGCGGCGUGAGUGAAGAAGGUUUUCGGAUCGUAAAGCUAUGUUGUUAGAGAAGCGGUAAAUAACCAGAAAGGGACGGCUAACUACGUGCCAGCAGCCGCGGUAAUAC